GAAUCAUCGAAUCUUUGAACGCACAUUGGCGCCCCUUGGCAUUCCUGGGGGCAUGCCUGUUCGAGCGUCACU
rnacentral:rRNA from 1 species